CAAUCUGGAUGCAAACUCUGUCACUGCUGCCAUCACCAGGGUUUAUUUGGCUGAUCUGGCUGGCUAGGAGUCAGUUCCCUUUCU
rnacentral:sRNA from 1 species